rnacentral:rRNA from 1 species
AGUGAACGCUGGCGGCGUGCUUAACACAUGCAAGUCGAACGAGAACGGGCCUAGCUUGCUAGGCUGUCAGCUAAGUGGCGGACGGGUGAGUAAUGUAUAGUUAAUCUGCCCCUUGGAGAGGGAUAACAGUUAGAAAUGACUGCUAAUACCUCAUACUCCUUCUUAUUUAAUAUAAGUUGGGAAAUGUUUUUUCGCCAAGGGAUGAGACUAUAUGGUAUCAGGUAGUUGGUGGGGUAAGAGCCUACCAAGCCAAUGACGCCUAGCUGGUCUGAGAGGAUGAUCAGCCACACUGGAACUGAGACACGGUCCAGACUCCUACGGGAGGCAGCAGUGGGGAAUAUUGCACAAUGGGGGAAACCCUGAUGCAGCAACGCCGCGUGGAGGAUGACGCAUUUCGGUGUGUAAACUCCUUUUAUAUAGGAAGAUAAUGACGGUACUAUAUGAAUAAGCACCGGCUAACUCCGUG